rnacentral:misc_RNA from 1 species
UACAUUCAACAUUGUAAACAAAAAUCAUUCAAAUUAUUACUUUGGCGUGUUCAUUCACAAUCGUUAACAUUAUCUGUAUCAGCGUUAUGUACAAAGUGCCUGUGGGGUUUGAACCCGUGUUCUUCCUCUUCCUAACACUGUAAGUCCAACUAAUGAUGCAAGCCCAAAACAUUUGUACAGUCAGUGCUCCGUACACCCUGCGCAGCGUGGUGUAUUCUAUACAGGACAGUCUGUGGCUAUACCAGGUGCGUUGUGUUCUAAUGCCACACGCCCCAGUAGUUAUCUAACUAAACAACACAAACAUGACAAUGUUCUACGUCGGAUUGAUGACACUUGUAGUUGUAGUAACAACUGCAUUGAUGAUGUUGGGCUAUUGGAUUUCCUGGCGAUCCCAGAAACUCCCAGACGUGUUUCGCGGAUCAGGAUUUAGUGACGGAUUGCGAAAGAAGAAGAGUCGACUGCGUACGCUCAUCGUUACGGCCCAUCCAGACGAUGAAUGCAUGUUCUUUAGCCCGCUAAUUCAGCAUUUAGUGCAGCUGGACCACAAAGUCUUUCUUCUGUGUUUGUCCUCAGGCGAUUUCUACGGCAUGGGAACGACACGAAUCAUCGAGCUGUUGAGCAGUAGCAGGGUGCUUGGAAUCGACGCAACUCACGUCACUGUGCUGAACGAUAAGAACCUGCUGGAUAAUGCCAGCUUGGAUUGGGAGCCGGCAGAAGUGGAGAAACACAUUGUCAAAGCGUUAAGGAACACACAGGCUGAUAUUAUUAUAUCGUUUGACGGAUAUGGUGUGAGUGGACACAGCAAUCAUCGGGCCAUCCACAGAACCCUGAGUAAGAUGCUGAAAGCUGGACAUCUCCACAAAGGCAAGGCCGGAUCGCAAGUCCACGCAUUCAUGUUGGAGAGUGUCGCCAUCUAUAGGAAAUAUUGUGGGUUUUUCGACGCGACAGUGUCGAUGUUUCUUUCACCAUAUACUGUGAUAUCGACUCCCACUGGUUACAUUACUGCACUGAGAGCCAUGGUGCAACAUUGGAGUCAGCUAGUUUGGUUUAGGAUGUUGUAUGUCGCCUUCUCACGUUACAUGAUGGUGAAUACGCUCGUGCCGUUAGAUGCUACUGAAAUCUGCAACACGUGACAUCAUCAAUCGUCGUGGUUACGCCAACACUCCAUUCGAUUCGUCUGCAGCUUGCGAUGAGGCAUCCAUGCCACUGCUGCGUUUGUCGGGUUGCACUGAUGAGGAGGACGAUGACAAGUGCACUUGCAAGCGUGGCGUGAUACUCGGUGUCCGCUGCCAAACCUUUGAUCGCGAAGUGAAGGUAAUGGAAACAGUUGCAAUAUAGUACAAAUUUUAGUGGACCAUUCAUAAGCGUUUUGUUAACAUUUUAGUAGGAGGUUCGUUAAUAAAACAAACUUGUCGAUUUUGUCGGGUUGGGUAAUGCAGUGUGUCGUUGCAGAUAAUGAUAUUACUCACAAAAGUUAUCCAGUAAAAGAAAUACUGUAGCGAAA